rnacentral:RNase_P_RNA from 1 species
GCAGUCAGCUAGACGAUCGCCGGUCUUCGCACGGGCAUCGGCCAACGGCGAAGGCGGGAGGAAAGUCCGACCUCCGAAAGGCAGUGCGCCGGGUAACGCCCGGGCAGGGAAACCUGACGGAUAGUGGCACAGAAAAUAUACCGCCCCGAGCGAGGCGCGCGAGCGCCGAGUCGAGGGGUAAGGGUGAAAAGGUGCGGUAAGAGCGCACCGCGUUCGUGGCAACACGGAUGGCAGGCAAAACCCCGCACGGAGCAAGACCAAAUAGGGUGGCGUUUGAGGACCGCCUGUCCGAGGCCACCGGGUAGGUCGCUGGAGCCCGCGGGCGACCGCGGGAUUAGAGGAAUGGUCGUCCCGCCGGGGAGGCCGCAAGGCUUCACCGGAGGACAGAAGUCGGCUUAUCGGGUGACUGCGAUG